rnacentral:rRNA from 1 species
CCCUUAGAUGUUCUGGGCGGCCCGCGCACUACAUUGGCACUAGCAAAGAGAUCCUAGAUUGAAUUCUUUGGGGUAUUCUUCUAAAUGGCGUCGUGACUGGGAUAAAUCCUUGUAAUUAUUGGUUUUGAACGAGGAAUUCCUUGUAAUCGCGGUUUAUCAGCUCGCGUUGAAUGCGUCCCUGCCCUUUGUACACACCGCCCGUCGCUCCUACCGAUGGAUCGUCCGGUGAAGCUCACGGAGUGACUGUUCACGCAACGGUUUACGAAGUGAAAUGGACCUCACGAUUUAGAGGAAGGAGAAGUCGUAACA